rnacentral:rRNA from 1 species
AUACGUAGGAUCCGAGCAUUAUCCGGAGUGACUGGGUGUAAAGAGUUGCGUAGGUGGCAUAAUAAGUAGCUAGUGAAAUCUGGUGGCUCAACCAUUCAGGCUAUUAGCUAAACUGUUAAGCUCGAGACCGUUAGGGGUAACUGGAAUUUCUAGUGUAGGGUUGAAAUCCGUAGAUAUUAGAAAGAACACCGAUAGCGUAGGCAGGUUACUGGGACGGUUCUGACACUAAGGCACGAAAGCGUAGGGAGCAAACGGGAUUAGAUACCCCGGUAGUCUACGCCGUAAACGAUGGAUACUAGCAGUUUCGGGUAUCGACCCUCGGAGUUGCGAAGCUAACGCGUUAAGUAUCCCACCUGUGUAGUACGAUCGCAAGAUUAAAACUUAAAGGAAUUGACGGGG